AUUGAACGCUGGCGGCAGGCCUAACACAUGCAAGUCGAACGAGUGGCGGACGGGUGAGUAAUGUCUGGGAAACUGCCUGAUGGAGGGGGAUAACUACUGGAAACGGUAGCUAAUACCGCAUACCCUCAGAUGUGCCCAGAUGGGAUUGGCUUGUUGGUGGGGUAACGGCUCACCAAGGCGACGAUCCCUAGCUGGUCUGAGAGGAUGACCGGACACACUGGAACUGUGACACGGUCCAGACGCCGACGGGAGGAGGCGUUGGGGAAUAUGGGACAGUGGGCGAAAGCCUGAGGCAGCCAUGCCGCGUGUAUAAAGAAGGCCUUCGGGUUGUAAAGUACUUUCAGCGGGGAGGCGUUACCCGCAGAAGAAGCACCGGCUAACUCCGUGCCAGCAGCCGCGGUAAUAC
rnacentral:rRNA from 1 species